AGCGAACGCUGGCGGCAGGCCUAACACAUGCAAGUCGAGCGGCCGUAGCAAUACGGCAGCGGCAGACGGGAGAGUAACACGUGGGAACGUGCCCUUUGGUUCGGAAUAACGCAGGGAAACUUGCGCUAAUACCGAAUAAGCCCUUACGGGGAAAGAUUUAUCGCCAUUGGAGCGGCCCGCGUCUGAUUAGCUAGUUGGUGGGGUAACGGCUCACCAAGGCGACGAUCAGUAGCUGGUCUGAGAGGAUGAUCAGCCUCACUGGGACUGAGACACGGCCCAGACUCCUACGGGAGGCAGCAGUGGGGAAUAUUGGACAAUGGGCGCAAGCCUGAUCCAGCCAUGCCGCGUGGAUGAUGAAGGCCUUAGGGUUGUAAAGUCCUUUUAGCGGGGAAGAUAAAUGACGGUACCCGCAGAAAAAGCCCCGGCUAACUUCGUGCCAGCAGCCGCGGUAAU
rnacentral:rRNA from 1 species